UACGAAGGGGGCUAGCGUUGUUCGGAAUUACUGGGCGUAAAGCGCACGUAGGCGGCGCAGCAAGUCAGGGGUGAAAUCCCGGGGCUCAACCUCGGAACUGCCUUUGAUACUGCAAAUCUCGAGUCCGGAAGAGGUGAGUGGAAUUCCUAGUGUAGAGGUGAAAUUCGUAGAUAUUAGGAAGAACACCAGUGGCGAAGGCGGCUCACUGGUCUGGUACUGACGUGAGACGCGAAAGCGUGGGGAGCGAACAGG
rnacentral:rRNA from 1 species